AGAGUUUGAUCAUGGCUCAGGACGAACGCUGGCGGCACGCUUAACACAUGCAAGUCGAACGAGAGAAGAGGAGCUUGCUUUUCUGAUCUAGUGGCGGACGGGUGAGUAACACGUGAGCAAUCUGCCUUUCAGAGGGGGAUACCGAUUGGAAACGAUCGUUAAUACCGCACAACAUAAUUGAACCGCAUGAUUUGAUUAUCAAAGAUUUAUCGCUGAAAGAUGAGCUCGCGUCUGAUUAGCUAGUUGGUAAGGUAACGGCUUACCAAGGCGACGAUCAGUAGCCGGACUGAGAGGUUGAUCGGCCACAUUGGGACUGAGACACGGCCCAGACUCCUACGGGAGGCAGCAGUGGGGAAUAUUGCACAAUGGAGGAAACUCUGAUGCAGCGAUGCCGCGUGAGGGAAGAAGGUUUUAGGAUUGUAAACCUCUGUCUUCAGGGACGAAAAAAGACGGUACCUGAGGAGGAAGCUCCGGCUAACUACGUGCCAGCAGCCGCGGUAAUACGUAGGGAGCGAGCGUUGUCCGGAAUUACUGGGUGUAAAGGGAGCGUAGGCGGGAUCGCAAGUCAGAUGUGAAAACUAUGGGCUUAACCCAUAAACUGCAUUUGAGACUGUGGUUCUUGAGUGAAGUAGAGGUAAGCGGAAUUCCUAGUGUAGCGGUGAAAUGCGUAGAUAUUAGGAGGAACAUCAGUGGCGAAGGCGGCUUACUGGGCUUUAACUGACGCUGAGGCUCGAAAGCGUGGGGAGCAAACAGGAUUAGAUACCCUGGUAGUCCACGCCGUAAACGAUGAUUACUAGGUGUGGGGGGACUGACCCCUUCCGUGCCGCAGCAGACGCAAUAAGUAAUCCACCUGGGGAGUACGACCGCAAGGUUGAAACUCAAAGGAAUUGACGGGGGCCCGCACAAGCAGUGGAGUAUGUGGAUUAAUUCGAAGCAACGCGAAGAACCUUACCAGGUCUUGACAUCGUAUGCAUAGCUCAGAGAUGAGUGAAAUCUCUUCGGAGACAUAUAGACAGGUGGUGCAUGGUUGUCGUCAGCUCGUGUCGUGAGAUGUUGGGUUAAGUCCCGCAACGAGCGCAACCCUUACUGUUAGUUGCUACGCAAGAGCACUCUAGCAGGACUGCCGUUGACAAAACGGAGGAAGGUGGGGAUGACGUCAAAUCAUCAUGCCCCUUAUGACCUGGGCCUCACACGUACUACAAUGGCUGUCAACAGAGGGAAGCAAAGCCGCGAGGUGGAGCGAACCCCUAAAAGCAGUCUUAGUUCGGAUUGUAGGCUGCAACCCGCCUACAUGAAGUCGGAAUUGCUAGUAAUCGCAGAUCAGCAUGCUGCGGUGAAUACGUUCCCGGGCCUUGUACACACCGCCCGUCACGCCAUGGGAGUCGGUAACACCCGAAGCCUGUAGUCUAACCGCAAGGAGGACGCAGUCGAAGGUGGGAUUGAUGACUGGGGUGAAGUCGUAACAAGGUA
rnacentral:rRNA from 1 species